AGUCAAUAAGUUUUAAGCAAACUUAUACUUUGAAAGUAUAGAAUGAAAGUUAAAUUCUUUCAUUGACUU
rnacentral:tRNA from 1 species